rnacentral:rRNA from 1 species
UCGGGGUGGAUUAGUGGCGAACGGGUGAGUAACACGUGGGCAAUCUGCCCUUCACUCUGGGACAAGCCCUGGAAACGGGGUCUAAUACCGGAUACCACUCCUGCCUGCAUGGGCGGGGGUUGAAAGCUCCGGCGGUGAAGGAUGAGCCCGCGGCCUAUCAGCUUGUUGGUGGGGUAAUGGCCCACCAAGGCGACGACGGGUAGCCGGCCUGAGAGGGCGACCGGCCACACUGGGACUGAGACACGGCCCAGACUCCUACGGGAGGCAGCAGUGGGGAAUAUUGCACAAUGGGCGAAAGCCUGAUGCAGCGACGCCGCGUGAGGGAUGACGGCCUUCGGGUUGUAAACCUCUUUCAGCAGGGAAGAAGCGAAAGUGACGGUACCUGCAGAAGAAGCGCCGGCUAACUACGUGCCAGCA